GCAAAGAUGGUUCAGUGGUAGAAUUCUUGCCUUCCAUGCAGGAGACCUGGAUUUGAUUCCUAGUCCAUGCA
rnacentral:tRNA from 1 species